GAAAUGCGAUAAGUAAUGUGAAUUGCAGAAUUCAGUGAAUCAUCGAAUCUUUGAACGCACCUUGCGCUCCUUGGUAUGCCGAGGAGCAUGCCUGUUUGAGUGUCAUGGAAUUCUCAACUCUAUUUGCUUUUGUGAAUAGAGCUUGGAUUUGGAGGUUUAUUGCUGGUACUUGUGAUCGGCUCCUCUUGAAUGCAUUAGCUCGAACCUUUGCGGAUCAGCUAUCGGUGUGAUAAUUGUCUACGCCGUUGCAGUGAAGCAUAUCAAUGGGCUCGGCUUCCAAUCGUCCUUUACUGGACAAUGACUUUGACCUUUGACCUCAAAUCAGGUAGGAUUACCCGCUGAACUUAAGC
rnacentral:misc_RNA from 1 species